rnacentral:rRNA from 1 species
ACAAAUGAGCCUACAUCAAGAUGAGAUUUCCCAUAGCGCAAGCUAGUAAGAACCCUGAAAGAUGAUCAGGUUGAUAGGUCAGAGGUGGAAGCGUGGUAACAUGUGGAGCUGACUGAUACUAAUCGUUCGAGGACUUAACCAA